UACGGAGGGGGCUAGCGUUGUUCGGAAUUACUGGGCGUAAAGCGCACGUAGGCGGCUUUGUAAGUUAGAGGUGAAAGCCCGGAGCUCAACUCCGGAAUUGCCUUUAAGACUGCAUCGCUCGAAUCAUGGAGAGGUGAGUGGAAUUCCGAGUGAGAGGUGAAAUUCGUAGAUAUUCGGAAGAACACCCGUGGCGAAGGCGGCUCUCUGGAACGCAACUGACGCUGA
rnacentral:rRNA from 1 species